CUCUCUGGAUUGUCGCUUGCUUUUGGGCUCUCAUUUUUAUAGCUCCUAGCCCAGCCCCACCCUUCUCAUUACACCAAAGGACGGUGCAGCUGGACUGGAACAGGAUUUAAAGGUCCAGCUACCUUGCUACACAGCCCAUUUACGAUGGACUGUUGGGGUCUGAGGGUUCCAUGGCACUUGGCUGGAAUGCUGGGAUCUGAAGAUUCCAUGUCAGUUGAGAUCUGCAGAUGUGGCAUUCAGGGGACCCCACUACACACCGGCGGAGCACCUACUCCAGAUAAGGAAGCAAGCAAGGUGGAGCAAGAAGGACGUGUUCAGAGAGAGCACCCAGAAGACCCCUCGCCUGCCCACAGCUCAGUUUCCGACUCGUCUUUCGUGACCUGCAUUUUGAGCAGCGGCUCCCAUGGUUUCCGCUAGCCGUUUCAUAAAGGAGCUUGAUGGUUUGUUUCUUACAUGUAUCCUGAACGAAGGGCAGUUUGAAUUAGGGUUGAGCCAACCCAGAAAAUUACCCUCCCCUCUCAGAAAAGACAUAAUUUAGCAAAU